rnacentral:misc_RNA from 1 species
GAAAUGCGAUAAGUAAUGUGAAUUGCAGAAUUCAGUGAAUCAUCGAAUCUUUGAACGCACCUUGCGCGCCUUGGUAUUCCUUGGAGCAUGCCUGUUUGAGUAUCAUGAAAUCUUCAAAGUAAAUCUUUUGUUAACUCAAUUGGUUUCUACUUUGGUAUUGGAGGUCUUUGCAGCUUCACACCUGCUCCUCUUUGUUCAUUAGCUGGAUCUCAGUGUUAUGCUUGGUUCCACUCGGCGUGAUAAGUUAUCUAUCGCUGAGGACACUGUAAAAGGUGGCCAAGGUAAAUGCAGAUGAACCGCUUCUAAUCGUCCAUUGACUUGGACAAUACUUUUAUGAUCUGAUCUCAAAUCAGGUAGGACUACCCGCUGAACUUAAGC